rnacentral:misc_RNA from 1 species
ACAAAAAAAAAAAAAAAAAAUCCCACAAAGCAUACCCUAAGGAUACUUAGGACAUGUUCACUAGUGAAAAUCUGGAAUAGUUUUUUGGAAAAAUUUUUUAAGACAAGAAAAUAGAGCUUUGUCUUCAAUGUGCUGGUUUUCUAGUUUUCCAAAUGAAGAACUGGAAACUACUUUUCUAGUUUUAUAAAAUUUAAUUAAGUUUUAAAAAGUAUCUUUAAGUUGUCUUUUUUACUAUUUUCCUUUAUUAAAAAUGUUCUGUUUUCUAACUGUUUUCCAAAAGAAAAACAAUGACUUUUCUAUCACCAAAAUUAUACUUAGAACUAUUUAGUAAUUAAAAUUGAAUAAUUAUUUAGGA